rfam:Gossypium hirsutum cultivar TM-1 chromosome 20, whole genome shotgun sequence
GAGAGCACAGUACGAUGAACGUUGUAAGCUGUGUUCGGGGGAGAGUUAUUGUCUAUCGUUAGCCUCUACGGUAGAAUCAGUCGAGGACCUGAGAGACAGUGGUUUACCCUGU